rnacentral:lncRNA from 1 species
ACUCAGACUAUUCCAGAACAUUGAAAAGGGCAUGAUGUUCUAUCAUCCAACCUCUUCAUUUUGCUCAGAAAUUGAUGCCCAGAGAGGUGUAAUAAUUUACCAGAAGUUGACCAGCUAUGCUGAAGCUGAGCUGCAAGUCAACUUCAGAAUUUCUCAUUUCAGCCCAAGCCCAAGCCCAUUCUCUUGAUUCUACUUGUUUGGUUAACUGCAUGUGCAGCUCACCUAUAAAGUCUCAGGCAUCACACGAGCAUCUUCUUUCAUCUCAGACUCAGCUACAUAUUCAAUCACGUUCCAUGAUGAUGACAAGUCCACUGGGCUGUCACCUUCUGCUCUGCAAUUAACUCCAGACAGUGUACCUGAUACAGCAACAUCAGCCAGAUUCACCAUGCACGUGUCAGAAGUAACCCCAAGAAUGGGAAUAAUGGUGUGGUACUUCAGGACAAACUCAAGACGGCUGUACUGGGGGAGAAGAUAGCACCACUUGUAAAGAAUCAGAAUCACAGACACAGCAACAGAAGCAACUUCCCCGCAGGACUGCCUAUCACUCCCUAUCUCCAGAACAUACCACUGAACUGGCUUCGGGACAGCCCACCUGGUUAUCGCACCUUUCCCUCUUUCUGCUUCAGGUGAUGGGGUUACCUUAGCAUAAACUGUAUGCACCUUCCCGGGGAGAAAUCUUGUGGCCCAACAUGUGACCGCUUCAGAGGUCACUUGCUGUUUCUUAAGACUUUCCACAUUCGGA